rnacentral:miRNA from 1 species
UGUUGCUUUGUGGGUGCCAGAUC